rnacentral:rRNA from 1 species
AACGAACGCUGGCGGCAUGCUUAACACAUGCAAGUUGAACGCAGGAUAGGACUUCGGUUCUAUUGCUGAGUAGCAAACGGGUGAGUAACGCGUGGGAAUCUACCUUUUUGUGGGGGAUAACUGAGGGAAACUUCAGCUAAUACCGCAUAAGCUCUACGGAGGAAAGGCUUCGGCCGCAAGAAGAGGAGCCCGCGUCAGAUUAGGUAGUUGGUAGGGUAAAAGCCUACCAAGCCAAUGAUCUGUAGCUGGUCUGAGAGGAUGAUCAGCCACACUGGGACUGAGACACGGCCCAGACUCCUACGGGAGGCAGCAGUGGGGAAUAUUGGACAAUGGGGGAAACCCUGAUCCAGCAAUGCCGCGUGAAUGAAGAAGGCCUUAGGGUUGUAAAGUUCUUUCACCUGUGAAGAUUAUGACGGUAGCAGGAGAAGAAGCCCCGGCUAACUCCGUGCCAGCAGCCGCCGCGG